UUAACGUGUUCUUUCAUUUUCCUUCCUUCAAUCCUUGAUUCUCUGGUUUUAGUUUUGCUUUCAAUAACCCAUGAAUUUCUAACAUGGUAUCCGAUCCGGUACCAUUUGGCUUCUUUUUAUCCUUUUUGCUUCCGCAAUUUCAAUUUCAUUAGGUUUCACUUUUCAAUUUCCCCCAAUUCCAAAACCCUAACCUCAAAUCUUUGCAUAUCUUAUCCCGUCGUCUCCUCCGAACUAGCUCGGCAUUGGUUUUAGACUUUGAUUUGCUUCUCUGGUUCAUUGAAGCUCUGCCUUCUUCUCCAGUUUUUGUCUAUACAUAUUGCAUUUCCAACAGAAUCUCAUGAGAAAUGACUGGUUUCAAAGCCAUUAUUGUAACUAUAGCUGUAACAAUGAAGUGGGGAAAACUCUGAGCAAUGAUGGGGAUGAUGGUCCUGUUCUUAUCAGAGAAGAGAAAUAACCCAAUUCAAGUUUAGAAGGCCUUAUGGUUGUGGCUACUGUUGGGUUGGCGGUAUUGGGUGAUUGGAAUUUGCUUUAUCAGCUUGGCUAUUUUGUGAAACGGGAAUAAAUUGGGCUUUGGGGUAUAGAGCUUAAAUGGUUCGUGGUUGUAGUGUUAGUUCUUGACAGCAACAUUACAUGCAGUUCAGCAUUGAACAUGUAUAUUCCAUUUGCAUCCACCAAUGCCUCCAGAAGGUACUUAUCGCAAUACUCUGCUGAAUUUUGGCCUUUGCAGGAUAGUCAAGUUGCAAUCUGAGGUUUUGAGAUAUUUCCUUUUGUAGAAACUGUUCUAAUUUGUGCCAUAGGCACCUUUUAGUAAUGAAUUUUGGCCGUUUUGUUAUUGUUUUAUUGUUUAUUAACUUCUGUUGAAUUUAUAGAAUUUUAUGAUACUUUGUUACCCCAAUCAUGGAAUAAUUUCCUUUGUAUAAUAGUUGUUUGAUGUGAGUCAACUUGCGUGGAUUGAUAGUAUUUAUAGUUCUUAAAUUGAUAUGAUGGAAGCUCCUUUCAUUGGUA